UUUGGUGGCCCAUACGGGAAGCACUGUGUGUUUUGAGUGGUCUGAGCCGGUUGAUCUGGUUUCCAACAAGUGAGGCAAUUGGCUGCAGAAAUGUGCCAGGGCUUAACCGUUCAUGCUAUGAGAUGGGACAAGAAACACUAAUGAAUACCAGCUGCUCAUGGCUAUCUGACUCCAUCGCUGGGGCACUAGGAAAUUUCCCUGAAGCUGCUGAGAUACCUUUGUCUCGAGAAACCUCCCUUCUCUCCCUGUCACAGUGUCUGCUACCUACUAUCCUUCUCUGGUACAAGGAAAGUGACAUCUGAAGAAGUCAAUGGACUUCAGAACUAGCUAAGUCAACCAGAGUUCACCUGGAUCCCCUCUGCCUCUUCUGUGAUGCUACUUGGGAUCUGUUCUGUUUGGACCUAGCUGCUUGUGAUGCCAUUUGGAGUCUCACUCUGCUGCUCAGGCUGGAGUGCAGUGGUGUGAUCUCGGCUCACUGCAACAUCUGCCUCCCAGGUUCAAGCAAUUCUUCUGCCUAAGCCUCCCAAGUAGCUGGGACUAUAGGUGAGUGCCACCACAUCCGGCUAAUUUCUGUAUUUUUAGUAGAGAUGGGGUUUCACUAUGUUGGCCAGGCUGGUCUCAAACUCCUGAACUCAGGUGGUCUGCCCACCUCUGCCUCCCAAAGUGCUGGGAUUAUAAAUGUGAGCCCCCAGGCCCAGCCUUCUUUCUCUUUCUUUCUUUUCUCUGCAAGGUGACCUGCAUAAGUCCCCGGUCAAUCCAGGGACCUAGCCCUGGAGGGGGACAAUCUCUACCACUUUGACUAAGUCAUCUUUCUAGGACCCCAAAGUAUAUCUUACAGCUGUGCCAGACCUUGUGGGGGAAAAGAAGUGUGUGGACUCUUCUGCGGGUUAUCUAAGUGGGCCUGUCACCCUGCUUACAGUGCUCAAUGCUGUCUGUGUGAAAACAAGGCUGAAAACACCUGGGUCUCAAGAUAUAACCUUGAAGCAAACUGCAGAAAUUUUUUCCCCUCCUCAGUCUUAAUAUAUAGCUUUGAAACAUACCAAGAGUCUUUGUUCCCCCGCCAUUUCCCACCGUACACUCCCUUACGUCACAUACAUUUAUCUGACUGUAGGCUUGUAUCUAAAUAUGUGCUUACUUAGAAGUUCUAGGGACUAAUUUUGAGACAGAUUACAGGCAUGGAAACCCAGCUGCAAAAUUCCAGAGAUUACCUCAAAGCAGUUAGUCAACAACCCGGCCAUUGUGGGGAUGAUGCCAGCCCAUGCUCCAGGUGGACCAUGACUCAAGAUAGCCACCAGAACGAGACGCACGGACCUGUACCCAGCACCACUCCUUGCAUGCCACCCACUGCAAGUUCCCUUUGUAAGCCCCUCUCCCCAGGCUAAAGUUUGAAAUGGUUCCUUUAAGGCACAAGCCAUGGCCACUUCUCCAGUGCUAGCUCUGGAAUAAAGCUUCUUUCUUUUCACUGCAUC
rnacentral:lncRNA from 1 species